rnacentral:tRNA from 1 species
UUCCUCAUGGUCCAGUGCUUAGGACUUGGUGCUUUCACUGCCAAGGGCCCAGGUUCAAUCCCUAGUUGGGGAG